rnacentral:rRNA from 1 species
GUGAGGAAUAUUGGUCAAUGGGCGGGAGCCUGAACCAGCCAAGUCGCGUGAAGGAAGAAGGAUCUAUGGUUCGUAAACUUCUUUUGCAGGGGAAUAAAGUGCAGGACGUGUCCUGUUUUGUAUGUACCCUGAGAAUAAGGAUCGGCUAACUCCGUGCCAGCAGCCGCGGUAAUACGGAGGAUCCGAGCGUUAUCCGGAUUUAUUGGGUUUAAAGGGUGCGUAGGUGGUUUGAUAAGUCAGCGGUGAAAGUUUGCAGCUUAACUGAAAAAAUGCCGUUGAAACUGUCGGACUUGAGUGUAAAUGAGGUAGGCGGAAUGCGUGGUGUAGCGGUGAAAUGCAUAGAUAUCACGCAGAACUCCGAUUGCGAAGGCAGCUUACUAAGCUACAACUGACACUGAAGCACGAAAGCGUGGGGAUCAAACAGGAUUAGAUACCCCAGUAGUCC